UACGUAGGGGGCAAGCGUUGUCCGGAAUGACUGGGUGUAAAGGGUGCGUAGGUGGUUUUGUAAGUUAGAAGUGAAAACCUGGGGCUCAACUCCAGACCUGCUUCUAAGACUGCAGGACUUGAGUGCAGGAGAGGUAAGUGGAAUUCCUAGUGUAGCGGUGGAAUGCGUAGAUAUUAGGAGGAACACCAGAGGCGAAGGCGACUUACUGGACUGUAACUGACACUGAGGCACGAAAGCGUGGGGAGCAAACAGGAUUAGAUACCCUGGUAGUCCACGCCGUAAACUAUGGAUACUAGGUGUAGGAGGUAUCGACUCCUUCUGCGCCGUCGCAAACGCAAUAAGUAUCCCACCUGGGGAGUACGGCCGCAAGGUUGAA
rnacentral:rRNA from 1 species